CGAACGGUACCACAGAGAGCUUGCUCUCGGGUGACGAGUGGCGGACGGGUGAGUAAUGUCUGGGAAACUGCUGAUGGAGGGGGAUAACUACUGGAAACGGUAGCUAAUACCGCAUAACGUCGCAAGACCAAAGAGGGGGACCUUCGGGCCUCUUGCCAUCAGAUGUGCCCAGAUGGGAUUAGCUAGUAGGUGGGGUAAUGGCUCACCUAGGCGACGAUCCCUAGCUGGUCUGAGAGGAUGACCAGCCACACUGGAACUGAGACACGGUCCAGACUCCUACGGGAGGCAGCAGUGGGGAAUAUUGCACAAUGGGCGCAAGCCUGAUGCAGCCAUGCCGCGUGUAUGAAGAAGGCCUUCGGGUUGUAAAGUACUUUCAGCGGGGAGGAAGGUGUUGUGGUUAAUAACCGCAGCAAUUGACGUUACCCGCAGAAGAAGCACCGGCUAACUCCGUGCCAGCAGCCGCGGUAAUACGGAGGGUGCAAGCGUUAAUCGGAAUUACUGGGCGUAAAGCGCACGCAGGCGGUCUUGUUCAAGUCGGAUGUGAAAUCCCCGGGCUCAACCUGGGAACUGCAUUUCGAAACUGGCAGGCUAGAGUCUUGUAAGAGGGGGGUAGAAUUCCAGGUGUAGCGGUGAAAUGCGUAGAGAUC
rnacentral:rRNA from 1 species